rnacentral:rRNA from 1 species
AUUGAACGCUGGCGGCAUGCCUUACACAUGCAAGUCGAACGGCAGCACGGGAGCAAUCCUGGUGGCGAGUGGCGAACGGGUGAGUAAUAUAUCGGAACGUGCCCAGUCGUGGGGGAUAACGUAGCGAAAGCUACGCUAAUACCGCAUACGAUCUAUGGAUGAAAGCGGGGGAUCGCAAGACCUCGCGCGAUUGGAGCGGCCGAUAUCAGAUUAGGUAGUUGGUGAGGUAAAGGCUCACCAAGCCGACGAUCUGUAGCUGGUCUGAGAGGACGACCAGCCACACUGGGACUGAGACACGGCCCAGACUCCUACGGAGGCAGCAGUGGGGAAUUUUUGGGACAAUGGGCGCAAGCCUGAUCCAGCAAUGCCGCGUGCAGGAUGAAGGCCUUCGGG